UGAGGAAUAUUGGUCAAUGGACGAGAGUCUGAACCAGCCAAAUCGCGUGAAGGAAGACUGCCCUACGGGUUGUAAACUUCUUUUGUACAGGAAUAAAAGACAUUACGUGUAAUGUAUUGCAUGUACUGUACGAAUAAGCAUCGGCUAACUCCGUGCCAGCAGCCGCGGUAGUACGGAGGAUGCGAGCGUUAUCCGGAUUUAUUGGGUUUAAAGGGUGCGCAGGCGGGAUUUUAAGUCAGCGGUGAAAUUUUCAGGCUCAACCUGAACACUGCCGUUGAAACUGGGAUUCUUGAGUAUGGAUGAAGUAGGCGGAAUUCGUUGUGUAGCGGUGACAUGCUUAGAUAUAACGAGGAACUCCGAUUGCGUAGGCAGCUUACUAAGCCAUAACUGACGCUCAAGCACGAAAGCGUGGGGAUCAAACA
rnacentral:rRNA from 1 species